GAUGAACGCUAGCGGCAGGCUUAACACAUGCAAGUCGAGGGGUAUUUAUCUUCGGAUAGAGAGACCGGCGCACGGGUGCGUAACGCGUAUGCAAUCUACCUUUUACAGAGGGAUAGCCCAGAGAAAUUUGGAUUAAUACCUCAUAGUAUAUAGACUCGGCAUCGAGAUUAUAUUAAAGUCACAACGGUAAAAGAUGAGCAUGCGUCCCAUUAGCUAGUUGGUAAGGUAACGGCUUACCAAGGCUACGAUGGGUAGGGGUCCUGAGAGGGAGAUCCCCCACACUGGUACUGGGACACGGACCAGACUCCUACGGGAGGCAGCAGUGAGGAAUAUUAGACGAUGGGCGCAAGCCUGAUCCAGCCAUGCCGCGUGCAGGAUGACGGUCCUAUGGAUUGUAAACUGCUUUUAUACGAGAAGAAACACUGCUACGUGUAGCAGCUUGACGGUAUCGGAAGAAUAAGGAUCGGCUAACUCCGUG
rnacentral:rRNA from 1 species